AAUAAAUGUAGUAAUAAAUGAAAGAAAUUAAAUGAUAAAUCAUUAAAUUUAAAAGAUUUGGCAGUAUUUAAUAUUUAGAGGAACCUGUGUAGUAAUUGAUAAUCCACGAUAAGAUAAACUUAAUUAAAAAUUUAUGUAUUGCUGUUUUUAAUAUUUAAUUAAGUUAGAUAGAUAAAAUUUAUUAUAUUUUAUAAAGUAAUUCAAGUCAAAAUAUAGUUUAGUUAAGAUUAAUAUGGGUUACAAUUAAUUAAAUUAUUGGAUUAAGAAAUUUAAGAUUUUUAAGAAAUUGGAUUUAAAAGUAAAUUUAAUUAAUUAAUUAAAUUGAAUAAUAAAUUAAAUAUGU
rnacentral:rRNA from 1 species